CUGUCCUUGGCCGGGCGGGCAAUUCUUGUUCGCUCCGUUCUCCGGGCCCUGCCAAUCUAUGCUAUGAGCGUUCUUCUUCUUCCCGCCGGCACUGUGCAAGAGAUUGAGAAACGCUGUCGAGCCUUCUUCUGGACGGGCCAAGACACGGUUACCGGGGGUAACUGCAAAGUUGCUUGGGACAUCGUGUGC
rnacentral:rRNA from 1 species